AGCACUAUUAUAAUUCAGGCUACCAUCACGUUUUAUAGUACUACCAGGUCAUUAGCUUGUUUAAAAUAGACAUAUUGAUGCUGGUGUUGAUGAACCUGAGGGUAACAGGAUAAACAGUGUCAAUUGGACAAGUCCAUGUAGUCCCUCCCUGUUUGUCUGUUUUUCUUCCGUUUGGUGAUUAACAAACACAAUCCAUAUGUGCUGCUAGCUAGCUACCCUGGUUUUAUGAUAGGUCUACACAGGAAGAGCUGUUUAUAUGAUAGGCCUACCCAGGAAGAGCUGUUUAUAUGAUAGGUCUACCCAGGAAGAGCUGUUUAUAUGAUAGGCCUACCCAGGAAGAGCUGUUUAUAUGAUAGGUCUACCCAGGAAGAGCUGUUUAUAUGAUAGGCCUACCCAGGAAGUGUUGUUUAUAUGAUAGGUCUAACCAGGAAGUGCUGUUUAUAGUGCAUAGAGAGAACAUUGGAACAGUAAAUCUUUGGUAACCAUAGCGCUGCCAUCGUCACCAUGUUUACUUUGUGAGUCACUGCCCAUUCCCAGAGGUUUCAUCAGUUCAGUUGACACAACAUCCCGUCGUCCCUCACUUGUAUCAAUAUCGUUCCUAUCUGACAGCGAACGUCAUUCAGAAACGUUAACCGUGUGUAGAGGUUGUGUAAACGGUAAAGUUUAUCUAGCUAUUGUGUGUCAGUUUACACGGAGGUGAGGGUGGUCGAUCCUACAGAGUUAAACAGCAGACCGUUAUCUUUUAAUAACGUGUUAGUUAGACUAACCCAGAGUCACAGGGAAAGGAAGCAGUGUUGGUUGUGGUGUUGUAGGGACAUGCUUGUUUUUGCACCAACUGUUCAACUAACUUAGUGUGUGUGUGUGUGUGUGUGUGUGUGUGUGUGUGUGUGUGUGUGUGUGUGUGUGUGUGUGUGUGUGUGUGUGUGUGUGUGUGUGUGUGUGUGUGUGUGUGUGUGUGUGUGUGUGUGUGUGUGUGUGCACACGAACACUUGUGUAUAUGUGUAGAGGUCGGCAGGGGGCCACACGACUAACCGUUGCCCAUGUCCAUGAGCACUGCAGCCAUUCCACUACCAUAAACUCACAUAACAUUGUAGUGACUAUACAGGUGAGUAUGGAAUGCUCUAAGAAUGCUCUAAGAAUGCUCUAAGAAUGCUCAACUGGAAUGCUGUAAGAGUAGAGUUAGACUGGGGAAAUGGCUCCAUGUCAGAGUAGGGUUAGACUGGGGAAAUGGCUCCAUGUCAUUGCAGGGAGAAUACUGAGUAAUUGGGAUAAUGUGAUUUACCUGGAGAGAAGAGUGUAGAGAGACUGAGUGCCUGUGAGUUCCUAUUUCACAGUCUGUUAUCUAAACCCAGCUACCUUAUAAACCAAGCCCGUCAUUCCUCCUGUCCUGGCUGAAAUAUAUUACCACUGAUUGGUUUGGUAAUGGACUAUUUAUCAGUCUGGAUGGGUGAGACUUUACUCUAGAUGUCUGUCUGUCUGUCUGUCUGUCUGUCUGUCUGUCUGUCUGUCUGUCUGUCUGUCUGUCUGUCUGUCUGUCUGUCUGUCUGUCUGUCUGUCUUACCUCCUCUCUAUCUCUCUCCUCCCUGUCUUCACUGGCCAUCCCCCCCCCUUCUAUACCUCCCUCUCUCCCUCCUCCCUCCUCUCCCUCCUCCCCCGGCUGUGUGGCUGGCUGGCAGGUCCUGUCCUGUCAGCCCGACCAGGCAGAGGGAG
rnacentral:lncRNA from 1 species